rnacentral:rRNA from 1 species
GGCUCAGGAUGAACGCUGGCGGCGGUGCUUUAACACAUGCAAGUCGAACGAUGAAGCCCAGCUUGCUGGGUGGAUUAGUGGCGAAACGGUGAGUAACACGUGAGUAACCUGCCCUUAACUCUGGAUAAGCCUGGGAAACUGGGUCUAAUACCGGAUAGGAGCGUCCACCGCAUGGUGGGUGUUGGAAAGAUUUAUCGGUUUUGGAUGGACUCGCGGCCUAUCAGCUUGUUUGGUGAGGUAAUGGCUCACCAAGGCGACGACGGGUAGCCGGCCUGAGAGGGUGACCGGCCACACUGGGACUGAGACACGGCCCAGACUCCUACGGGAGGCAGCAGUGGGGAAUAUUGCACAAUGGGCGAAAGCCUGAUGCAGCGACGCCGCGUGAGGGAUGACGGCCCUCGGGUUGUAAACCUCUUUCAGUAGGGAAGAAGCGAAAGUGACGGUACCUGCAGAAGAAGCACCGGCUAACUACGUGCCAGCAGCCGCGGUAAUACGUUAGGUGCGAGCGUUAUCCGGAAUUAUUGGGCGUAAAGAGCUCGUAGGCGGUUUGUCGCGUCUGUCGUGAAAGUCCGGGGCUUAACCCCGGAUCUGCGGUGGGUACGGCAGACAGAGUGCAGUAGGGGAGACUGGAAUUCCUGGUGUAGCGGUGGAAUGCGCAGAUAUUCAGGAGGAACACCGAUGGCGAAGGCAGGUCUCUGGGCUGUAACUGACGCUGAGGAGCGAAAGCAUGGGGAGCGAACAGGAUUAGAUACCCUGGUAGUCCAUGCCGUAAACGUUGGGCACUAGGUGUGGGGACCAUUCCACGGUUUCCGCGCCGCAGCUAACGCAUUAAGUGCCCCGCCUGGGGAGUACGGCCGCAAGGCUAAAACUCAAAGGAAUUGACGGGGGCCCGCACAAGCGGCGGAGCAUGCGGAUUAAUUCGAUGCAACGCGAAGAACCUUACCAAGGCUUGACAUGUUCCCGAUCGCCGUAGAGAUACGAUUUCCCCUUUGGGGCGGGUUCACAGGUGGUGCAUGGUUGUCGUCAGCUCGUGUCGUGAGAUGUUGGGUUAAGUCCCGCAACGAGCGCAACCCUCGUUCCAUGUUGCCAGCACGUAAUGGUGGGGACUCAUGGGAGACUGCCGGGGUCAACUCGGAGGAAGGUGAGGACGACGUCAAAUCAUCAUGCCCCUUAUGUCUUGGGCUUCACGCAUGCUACAAUGGCCGGUACAAUGGGUUGCGAUACUGUGAGGUGGAGCUAAUCCCAAAAAGCCGGUCUCAGUUCGGAUUGGGGUCUGCAAACUCGACCCCAUGAAGUCGGAGUCGCUAGUAAUCGCAGAUCAGCAACGCUGGCGGUUGAUACCGUUCCCGGGCCUUGUACACACCGCCCGUCAAGUCACGAAAGUCGGUAACACCC